CUUCUUCCUCCUCUUCCUCCUCUCUUCCCUCUCUUUUCCAGGAUUUGGGGUCCAACCUGUACUCCUGCUACUCUUCCUCUUCCUCUUCUUCCCCCUCCCCUCAUUUUUUGGGGGAAAUUAUCAGGAUUUUGGGUGGAUUCCUCCAAUGGAGAGACCAGAAAUGGAGAGGACAUUCCAGGUUGGAUCCAUCCCAUGGAUCCGCAGCCUCCUCCUCCUAUUUUCCGUCGUUUUUCCAGGAUUUUGUGUCCAGCCUCUACUCUGGCUGCCCUUCCUCCUCUCCCCCUGUCUCCUCCUCCUCCUCCUCUUCCCUUAUCUUUUUAGGAAAAUAUUCAGGAUUUUGGGUGGGUUCCUCCAACAAAGAGGCUGAAAACAGAGCUCUCAUUCCUCUUCCUCCUCUUCCUCCUCUUCCUCCUCUUCCUCCUCUUCCUGCUCUUCCUCCUCCUCUUCUUCCUGUUCUUGUUCUUGUUCGUGUUCCUGUUCCUCUUCCUCUCCCCUCAUAUUUUAGGGAAAAUUUCCAGGAUUUUGACUGGGUUCCUGCAAUGGAAGGUUCUACUCCGGCUGCUCUUCCUCUCCCAUCUCCUCCUCCUCCUCCUCCUCCUCCUCCUCUUCAUCUUCCUCUUCCUCUUCCCUCUUUUUUUAGGGGAAAUUUUCCAGGAUUUUGGGUGGAUUCCUCCAAUGGAGAGGCCAGAACUGGACCUGCAAUUCCUCCUCUUCCUCCUCACUUUUCCAUGAAACCGCUGGGAUUUUGGGUCCAACUUCUACUCCCACUGCUCUUCCUCUUCCUCUUCCUCUUCCUCUUCCUCUUCCUCUUCCUCUUCCUCUUCCUCUUCCUCUUCUUCCCUCAUUUUUUAGGGAAAAUUUCAGGGGUAUUGGGUGGAUUCCUCCAAUGGAGAGGCCAUUCUUGGUUGGAUCCAUCUUGGAACCUGCUACUCCUCCUCUUCCUCUUCCUCCUCUUCUUCCUCACUUUUCAGCGAAACCCACCAGGAUUUGGGGUCCAACCUCUACUCCUGCUGCUCUUCCUCUUCCUCCUCCUCUUCCCUCUUUUUUAGGGGAAAAUUUCCGGGAUUUUGGGUGGGUUCCUCCAAUGGAGAGGCUGAAAAUGGAGCUGCCCUUCCUCCUCCUCUCUUCCCUGAUUUUCCAGGAUUUUGUCUCCAACCUCUACUCCUGCUGGUCUUCCUCUUCCUCUUCCUCUUCCUCUUCCUCUUCCUCUUCCUCUUCCUCUUCCUCUUCCUCUUCCUCUUCCCUCCAUUUUUGGGAACACCGAUGGGAUUUUGGGUGGGUUCCUCCAAGGAAGAGGCUGAAAAUGGAGCUGCCCUUCCUCUUCCUCUUCCUCUUCCUCUUCCUCUUCCUCUUCCUCUUCCUCUUCCUCUUCCUCUUCCUC
rnacentral:lncRNA from 1 species